rnacentral:rRNA from 1 species
UCCACGCAGUAAACGAUGAAUGUUAGUCGUUGGGUCUCUAGUAGAUUCAGUGAUGCAGUUAACACAUUAAACAUUCCGCCUGGGGAGUACGGUCGCAAGAUUAAAACUCAAAGGAAUAGACGGGGACCCGCACAAGUGGUGGAGCAUGUGGUUUAAUUCGAAAAUCGCGAAGAACCUUACCUAGCCUUGACAUAUUAAAGAACACAGUAGAGAUACAGUGGUGCCUUAGGGACUUUAUUACAGGGUUCCGUCGACGGCG